rnacentral:rRNA from 1 species
UGUCGUCAGCUCGUGUUGUGAAAUGUUGGGUUAAGUCCCGCAACGAGCGCAACCCUUAUCCUUUGUUGCCAGCGGUCCGGCCGGGAACUCAAAGGAGACUGCCAGUGAUAAACUGGAGGAAGGUGGGGAUGACGUCAAGUCAUCAUGGCCCUUACGACCAGGGCUACACACGUGCUACAAUGGCGCAUACAAAGAGAAGCGACCUCGCGAGAGCAAGCGGACCUCAUAAAGUGCGUCGUAGUCCGGAUUGGAGUCUGCAACUCGACUCCAUGAAGUCGGAAUCGCUAGUAAUCGUGGAUCA